GGGGGAGAGAAUGGCUUCUGAAACCAGGCUUCUUUGCUUCCCUAUAUAAUGGCUGUAAAAACCUUGAGUCUCAGAUCACUUAUCUGUGAAAUGAAGACAACAGAAACUAUCUAACUGAGUUGAUAAAUGAUUGAAUGAAUUAAAAUUUGUAAACACUUGAAGAUUAUGUGGUACAUAGCUAUGUGAGUGUUUUACAAAUAAGUAAUCAAGAUCCCAAUGGUGUCCAUUAAGCUUGUAAUGAAAGGAACCUGACUAUACAUGAGAACUUUGCAACCUUCCACAAGGAAGAAGGAAAAACCCUUCAAGGACACAGAAGAACUCAAGUUCAAGCAGUGUAGCACUGACAUCAGUUGCAAAGAAAUGAAGGCUACAAAUGGAUUGUGUUGUCACUUAACAAGAAGUGGGCACAGGUUGAGCAACCUCUGACAGUGACAGAUACAAAUGACUCUACAGGAAAUUGCUGGAAUCAUUAUCCAAAAGAUUAACCAACAGGCCACUGGGAAGAGGAAUAUGUAUGUGUUGGAUUAGAUCUGAAUCUACAAGACAAGGUGGCUGAAAAUUACUAUCAUAUUAAGGACAGAGAUGCUUAUAUGAGUUGCCAUAAGUACUUGCUCACAUUGGUAAAGGCAGGAGGCUGAAAAGGAGUAGAGUUCACAAGAUCUGCAUGAACAAAGCAGAGGUGGUAAAAGGACACCUUUCUCAUGUGAUAUUUGUGGCUCUGACUGAGACUAGAAUGACUAGUGCCGUCGCUGGACCUGUCUGAUGACAAAAAGGACCACAAAGCUCCUUACAUAUGAGUCUCCAGUACCUUUCUACACCCUUCAUGGCCUGCAAGGCUCCGGAUGGUCUGGACCUUUCCUUCUGGUUCUCCAAUCUCCAUCUACUGUUCUGACUACAUCAGAAGUUCCUUCUUUGGCUGUUCACCUGAAUUAUGUUUGGAGGCUGGGAAAAUGGAUCUGUGGGAAAAGAGCACAUGCUGUUCAAACAUGAAGACACGAGUUCAUAUCCUUGGUAUGGCUAUGCAUGCCUGUAAACCCCAGCCCUCCUGAAAUGGGCACCCCUCCAGCCCUCUGUGUUCUGACCUCGUAGAUCCUGCUGUGUACGAACACCACCCAUACUCUGUCUUGGCAUUCGAAGAGAAGUUCUUAAAGGAGUAUGCCUCUGCUCAUCCAGGUGACUUAAUGUAUCUUAAUAACUACUGUAGGAGCUUCAGAGCAAAGGAAGUGGCUUAAUGACCCUGCAAGGAAUUCUCCUGGUGAUAGCUUUUAUAUUAUCAAGUUUCUCUUCAUAAUCAGAAGAGUUGUUUCAUUUCAUCUCGGAGCAGGAAACAGCAGUCUGCU